AUUCUUUACAAUCUUCAUAAAUUGAUGGCUUCUGGAUUGCAUUCGGUUAGUUAGUUCUUUCUCUUAUACUAAAGAAUUGAUUUCUUUUUAGUUUUAGAUGUAUAUUGUACAAAGUAGCUGCUGAAUUUCUAUUCAUAAUAGCACAUGAAAAGGUAAAGAGAGGAAUGUAGAUUGACAAUGGAAUGAUAAUAAUAUUAAUGAUUGUAAAUUUUAUCUCUCACUGGUUUUACAUUUUCUGAACGUUUUUCUUUAAUGGUGCCUGAAAAACAUUGCAAUUAUUUCCAGAGUUCUUUACCACUCUUGCUUACGAUGCUUUAUCAUUGAUGAUCCAUGUGAUGUCUUGUGUGGCUUGCAUCAGUGACCCAUGCUUCAGAGAAAAGGUUGAACUAUACCUGGCAAUAUGGACAAAUGAUGCUUUAUUUAUUCAUCUCGAUUGUGAAUUUUUCCAUCAUGUCUUGGUAUGCUACUACCACUAUAAUGUCUAGAAACAAUUGUAUAAGAACUAGUCGUUAUGGAACGCUAGAUAUGGUACAAAUUUUCUCUACAAUGCUUUAUUCUAAGCUGCUGAGUGGUGAAAACUUUUCCUUUGAACUAUUUCACAAGCACAUACAGGGACAUCUGCAAACCACCUUCAGUUUUCCUUAACACUUGUCUAAUUUUUUUCUUUUAUAGACCUUAGCAAGUGAUCCCAUGUCUGAUCCCUAAACUUAAUAAUGAUUGGUUUGAUUUCUAUUUAAAAGUAAAUAACUGAAAACUUAUCAUCCAUAUUCCAAGCUAGGAGGCAAGAUUCAAACUAAGCAAAACAGUGUGAUUAAGAUUUUCUAAAGUCUUAUAAUUAAUCUGCGCAUGGAAAGUAAACCAAUUAGAAACGUGAAAAUCUACUGUAGGGAACAGAUUCAAACUGAACAAAGCAGUACUGAUAAAAUCUUUUAAAAGCUUACCUUUAAUUUUUGGUUUGAUAAUAUUCUAUCAUCCUUGUAGGCUGCCCUGAAUAUCCUUGUUCCACAAUCCUCUUUUGUGGAUCUUAGAUCCAUCUAUACUGUUAAACUAUGAAGAGACUUCUGUUGACAUCACUGGAACUGAAAAUGAUCCAUUGCCCGCACCUUAAUCUCUUUCUUUCUGUCAAUUCUGUAUGAAUCAAAUGAUAAAUAAAGAUAGUUUCAGCAAGCUGAAGGAGCAGUAAGGCUCAGUCUAUAUGAUUUCAGAUUAAUUCUGAUAUUAGUUGAGGCUUGAGAUUCCUAAGUAUGUUACAAGCCUUUGAUUUUUGUCUUUGGUAUAUUUUGAUAAGCUUCAAAUCUAUAUAAGGGAAAAAGACGUUGGUUACAUGUGAUGAUCUUGUCAAUGUUAGCUUUAAAGUUUCUGAAAUAGAAGAAGGAAAUAAGCACGUCCAUUCUAGUCCUAGGUCUGAUCUUUUGGCUUGGUCCUCUACAACCAGAGAGUAAUUCAAAUGAAAAGGACAAAAGGAUUAAAGGUAUGAGGAACUGACUUGGGUUGAAAUUUAAGGAAAGGUUUGAAUUUGAUUAAUUAACAUAUACAAGAAAAUAUGGCCCUGAUUAUUGAUAGCACCCAUUGGAGGAAACAGAUUCAUGUAAACAUCUCCUGAUAGUUCAGGAUUCAAAUUAUUUAAUUUGAAUCCCAUUCAUGAAUCGUUUGUGCAUCAGAAGGAAGAUCAAAUCUGAGUUACAUAAA
rnacentral:lncRNA from 1 species